CCUACGGGUGGCAGCAGUGGGGGAUAUUGCACAAUGGGGGAAACCCUGAUGCAGCGAAGCCGCGUGAGUGAAGAAGUAUUUCGGUAUGUAAAGCUCUAUCAGCAGGGAAGAAAAUGACAGUACCUGACCAAGAAGCCACGGCUAACUACGUGCCAGCAGCCGCGGUUAUACGUAGGGGGCAAGCGUUAUCCGGAUUUACUGGGUGUAAAGGGAGCGUAGACGGUUAUGUAAGUCUGGAGUGAAAGCCCGGGGCCCAACCCCGGGACUGCUUGGGAAACUGUGUAACUGGAGUACAGGAGGGGCAGGCGGAAUGCCGGGUGUAGCGGUGAAAUGCGUAGAUAUCAGGAGGAACACCGGCGGCGAAGGCGGCCUGCUGGACUGAAACUGACGUUGAGGCUCGAAAGCGUGGGGAGCGAACAGGAUUAGAUACCCCAGUAGUC
rnacentral:rRNA from 1 species